rnacentral:rRNA from 1 species
GACGAAGGAUGCAAGCGUUAUCCGGAUUCAUUGGGCUUAAAGGGAGCGUAGGUGGCCAAAUAAGUCAGUGGUGAAAUCCUGUUGCUUAACAACAGAAUUGCCAUUGAUACUGUAUGGCUUGAGUAUAGUUGCCGUUGGCGGAAUAUGACAUGUAGUGGUGAAAUACAUAGAGAUGUCAUAGAACACCGAUUGCGAAGGCAGCUGACGAAACUAUAACUGACACUGAGGCUCGAAAGUGCGGGGAUCAAACAGG